rnacentral:rRNA from 1 species
UUCCGGUUGAUCCUGCCGGAGGUUACUGCUAUCGGUGUUCGACUAAGCCAUGCGAGUCAAAUGUUCUUCGUGAACAUGGCGGACUGCUCAGUAACACGUGGAUAACCUGCCCUUAGGUUCGGCAUAACUCCGGGAAACUGGAGAUAAUUCCGAAUAGGUCAAAUAUGCUGGAAUGCUUUUUGGCCAAAAGACCUCGGUUGCCUAAGGAUGGAUCUGCGGUCUAUCAGGUUGUAGUGGGUGUAACGUACCUACUAGCCUACGACGGAUAUGGGUUGUGAGAGCAAGAGCCCAGAGAUGGAUUCUGAGACAUGAAUCCAGGCCCUACGGGGCGCAGCAGGCGCGAAAACUUUACAAUGCGGGAAACCGCGAUAAGGGGACACCGAGUGCCAGCAUUUAUGUUGGCUGUCCACAUGUGUAAACGGCAUGUGUUAGCAAGGGCCGGGCAAGACCGGUGCCAGCCGCCGCGGUAACACCGGCGGCCCGAGUGGUAAUCACUUUUAUUGGGUCUAAAGGGUCCGUAGCCGGUUUGAUCAGUUCUUCGGGAAAUCUGACAGCUCAACUGUUAGGCUUCCGGGGAAUACUGUCAGACUUGGGACGGGAGAGGUAAGAGGUACUACAGGGGUAGGAGUGAAAUCUUGUAAUCCCU